rnacentral:tRNA from 1 species
UCCCUGGUGGUCCAGUGGUUAGGACUUGGCUCUUUAACUGCCGGGGCCUGGGUUCAAUCACUGGUCAGGGAA